GCCUGUUUAUCAAAAACAUGGCUCUUUGUAGAAAAUAAAUAAAGAGUCGGACCUGCCCAGUGAUAAUUUUCAACGGCCGCGGUACCCUGACCGUGCAAAGGUAGCAUAAUCAUUUGCCUUGUAAUUUAAGGCUAGUAUGAAAGGUUUGACAAGAAUAUAACUGUCUCCUUUUGGUUUAAUAGAAUUUUACUUAUAAGUGAAGAGACUUAUAUACAAUUAAUAGACAAGAAGACCCUAUCGAGCUUGAAAGAAAUUAAUAGAAGUUAAAUAAAAUAAUAAAUAAAAUUAGAUCUAUUAAAAAUUUUGGUUGGGGCGACUUAGGAACAAAUAAAGCUUCCUACCUGAUUUAAACCGUCAAGUAAUGAUCCAGAAAAUUUUGAUCAAAGAAAUUAGUUACCGUAGGGAUAACAGCAUUAUCUUUUUUGAGAGCUCUUAUCGAAAAAAAGGUUUGUGACCUCGAUGUUGGACCAGAAUAUCCUAAAGAUGUAGCAGUCUUUAAAGGUUGGUCUGUUCGACCAUUAAAAUUCUACGUGAUCUGAGUUCA
rnacentral:rRNA from 1 species